rnacentral:rRNA from 1 species
GAUGAACGCUAGCGGCAGGCUUAAUACAUGCAAGUCGAACGAAGUGGUAACACUUAGUGGCGCACGGGUGCGUAACACGUAUGCAACCUACCUAUCGUUGGGGGAUAACUUUGAGAAAUCAGGGCUAAUACCGCAUAAAACAGCGUUACUGCAUGGUAAUGCUGUUAAAGUUACGGCGACGAUAGAUGGGCAUGCGUCCGAUUAGGUAGUUGGCGAGGUAACGGCUCACCAAGCCGACGAUCGGUAGGGGAUCUGAGAG